GCGGACGUGGCGAAACGGGUAGACGCAAGAGACUUAAAAUCUCUCAGCCGCAAGGCUAUGCGGGUUCGAUCCCCGCCGUCCGCACCA
rnacentral:tRNA from 2 species